CUGGAAACCUAGCCGCUUCCUGCCGCACUCGCGCGGUCGCGCCCCCUUCCCCCUUCCCCCGUCCUCCCGCAUUCCAGCCUCCACCUCGCCGCCGCCACCAACACCAGGCGAUUCCGGCGAGUUCCGGCGGCCCUCGCCGGAGCGCAGCACACCCACGAGCUCCCCUCGUGACGGUGCUUCCUUUCCUUCGGCUAGAUCUGCUCCUCACGGCCGCAAGCGCUCGCGCGCGACCCAUCCCCGCUGCUAGGGCUUCGGCUGCCCCCAACUCUGGUGAGCCACCCUCCUCCAUGGACGAGGACGACCACCACGGCCGCACAUGGUCGAGCUCACCGUCGUUUCCUCCGGUGCGGUGAUGGGCCAACGAGCUCCGCCUCCACGGCUCCUAGCUCGGCUUCUGUUCUCCAUGGACGAAUCUCAACUGGAAACAGCAAGCCAUCUCAAGGGAGGGGAUUGUCAAGUCACCCCACUUCCAAUCCAUGGAUGCUAUCCACAAGGACCAAGAUGAUGACGACCAGGAUGGAAGGAGCCCACGCCCGACCCCGACGACGGCGGUUUCAUUUGUGUGCCGGCGUCGACCACAACCUCCCUCUCUGUAAUAUGUACAUCACUAACCCAGUCAGUGGUUAUGAAUUUUGCUCUCUGAAGGACGUGCAAUGUUAUAUUGAAUCAGGGGACACAAGUAAAUGCAAUGUUAGGCCAAAGAAGAGAACUGCCCAGGAUACUUGUAUUACACAGAAUCAAGAUUAUGUGAGUUCCUCCUAUUGUUUUCACUUUCUGUAGCUUGCAUGUUUGUGUGGGCUGGAAAUGUGUGAGAACAAUGCAAUCUACAAAAACAAUUAGCUUCAUCAAUUGGAAGUUCUCAUCGAUUGGAAGUUGCAGGGGAUUCAGUCUCUGACUAAACUGAUUAACUAACUGGUGUAUCUCCUUGGCAUGAUGUGCAUUAGCUUCAUCAAUUACAAUGCCUUGCUAGAGCUUCUGCCCGUGUGUUUAUUUCAUACCACAUUCAAAGUUAAAUGUACCUGCGACGCCUCUUUUGGGACUGCUCGUGACGACCAUUCUGUGUUAUCCUGACAUGGCUUGCUAUGCUGUUGCGUCCGUGCAACUCUCUGUAGAAAAGACAGUAAAGUUGUCCACGCGUUGGACCCGAUGGGAGCCCCGGCCAAACCACUCCACCGCAGUUCAAUACCUGUCGCAGAUGAUCCAGACACUGUCGUUUCCAAAGAGAACUCCCAAUGCGGUCGUGAAGAAGCUGUCGUAUAUAACAGUUGAUAAACAUGACAAAAAUUCUCCGCCGCUAUUUGGAGGACAUUAAACCUGGGAGCAGAGGAAGGAAAGCUUUAAGUUGAAUGCUACCAUGAAGAGAUGAUUGUACUUAUGGAAACUCAGAUGCCCUGCACCGCUGCCGGAUCAGGGAUGGAGCGAACUAAAAUCCAGAAAUAAGAGAGGAGUGGAUGCAGGAGGCUCCUCAGCGAUUAGAGCUUCUCGGCCGUCCGAUCAUUUUCUUGAUUGCGUUCUGGCCGUUGGAUCUCGGGCUCGGUCGUCGUGGGCCGUCGGAUAUUUACCCGGUCGUCUCCAACCGUCCGAUAUUUUCCCUAUGAGCCGUGUCCCGCCCGGCCGUGCCACCGCGCGUAAUUCCCGUGCCCCGCCGAGGGCAUUUUAGACAUUUCGCAUACCCCUUUAAAAACAAAGUAGCAGCCACUGGAAACCUAGCCGCUUCCUGCCGCACUCGCGCGGUCGCGCCCCCUUCCCCCUUCCCCCGUCCUCCCGCAUUCCAGCCUCCACCUCGCCGCCGCCACCAACACCAGGCGAUUCCGGCGAGUUCCGGCGGCCCUCGCCGGAGCGCAGCACACCCACGAGCUCCCCUCGUGACGGUGCUUCCUUUCCUCCGGCUAGAUCUGCUCCUCACGGCCGCAAGCGCUCGCGCGCGACCCAUCCCCGCUGCUAGGGCUUCGGCUGCCCCCAACUCUGGUGAGCCACCCUCCUCCAUGGACGAGGACGACCACCACGGCCGCACAUGGUCGAGCUCACCGUCGUUUCCUCCGGUGCGGUGAUGGGCCAACGAGCUCCGCCUCCACGGCUCCUAGCUCGGCUUCUGUUCUCCAUGGACGAAUCUCAACUGGAAACAGCAAGCCAUCUCAAGGGAGGGGAUUGUCAAGUCACCCCACUUCCAAUCCAUGGAUGCUAUCCACAAGGACCAAGAUGAUGACGACCAGGAUGGAAGGAGCCCACGCCCGACCCCGACGACGGCGGUUUCAUUUGUGUGCCGGCGUCGACCACAACCUCCCUCUCUGUAAUAUGUACAUCACUAACCCAGUCAGUGGUUAUGAAUUUCGCUCUCUGAAGGACGUGCAACGUUAUAUUGAAUCAGGGGACACAAGUAAAUGCAAUGUUAGGCCAAAGAAGAGAACUGCCCAGGAUGCUUGUAUUACACAGAAUCAAGAUUAUGUGAGUUCCUCCUAUUGUUUUCACUUUCUGUAGCUUGCAUGUUUGUGUGGGCUGGAAAUGUGUGAGAACAAUGCAAUCUACAAAAACAAUUAGCUUCAUCAAUUGGAAGUUCUCAUCGAUUGGAAGUUGCAGGGGAUUCAGUCUCUGACUAAACUGAUUAACUAACUGGUGUAUCUCCUUGGCAUGAUGUGCAUUAGCUUCAUCAAUUACAAUGCCUUGCUAGAGCUUCUGCCCGUGUGUUUAUUUCACACCACAUUCAAAGUUAAAUGUACCUGCGACGCCUCUUUUGGGACUGCUCGUGACGACCAUUCUGUGUUAUCCUGACAUGGCUUGCUAUGCUGUUGCGUCCGUGCAACUCUCUGUAGAAAAGACAGUAAAGUUGUCCACGCGUUGGACCCGAUGGGAGCCCCGACCAAACCACUCCACCGCAGUUCAAUACCUAUCGCAGAUGAUCCAGACGCUGUUGUUUCCAAAGAGAACUCCCAAUGCGGUCGUGAAGAAGCUGUCGUAUAUAACAGUUGAUAAACAUGACAAAAAUUCUCCGCCGCUGUUUGGAGGACAUUAAACCUGGGAGCAGAGGAAGGAAAGCUUUAAGUUGAAUGCUACCAUGAAGAGAUGAUUGUACUUAUGGAAACUCAGAUGCCCUGCACCGCUGCCGGAUCAGGGAUGGAGCGAACUAAAAUCCAGAAAUAAGAGAGGAGUGGAUGCAGGAGGCUCCUCAGCGAUUAGAGCUUCUCGGCCGUCCGAUCGUUUUCUUGAUUGCGUUCUGGCCGUUGGAUCUCGGGCUCGGUCGUCGUGGGCCGUCGGAUAUUUACCCGGUCAUCUCCAACCGUCCGACAUUUUCCCUAUGAGCCGUGUCCCGCCAGGCCGUGCCACCGCGCGUAAUUCCCGUGCCCCGCCGAGGGCAUUUUAGACAUUUCGCAUACCCCUUUAAAAACAAAGUAGCAGCCACUGGAAACCUAGCCGCUUCCUGCCGCACUCGCGCGGUCGCGCCCCCUUCCCCCUUCCCCCGUCCUCCCGCAUUCCAGCCUCCACCUCGCCGCCGCCACCAACACCAGGCAAUUCCGGCGAGUUCCGGCGGCCCUCGCCGGAGCGCAGCACACCCACGAGCUCCCCUCGUGACGGUGCUUCCUUUCCUCCGGCUAGAUCUGCUCCUCACGGCCGCAAGCGCUCGCGCGCGACCCAUCCCCGCUGCUAGGGCUUCGGCUGCCCCCAACUCUGGUGAGCCACCCUCCUCCAUGGACGAGGACGACCACCACGGCCGCACAUGGUCGAGCUCACCGUCGUUUCCUCCGGUGCGGUGAUGGGCCAACGAGCUCCGCCUCCACGGCUCCUAGCUCGGCUUCUGUUCUCCAUGGACGAAUCUCAACUGGAAACAGCAAGCCAUCUCAAGGGAGGGGAUUGUCAAGUCACCCCACUUCCAAUCCAUGGAUGCUAUCCACAAGGACCAAGAUGAUGACGACCAGGAUGGAAGGAGCCCACGCCCGACCCCGACGACGGCGGUUUCAUUUGUGUGCCGGCGUCGACCACAACCUCCCUCUCUGUAAUAUGUACAUCACUAACCCAGUCAGUGGUUAUGAAUUUUGCUCUCUGAAGGACGUGCAAUGUUAUAUUGAAUCAGGGGACACAAGUAAAUGCAAUGUUAGGCCAAAGAAGAGAACUGCCCAGGAUGCUUGUAUUACACAGAAUCAAGAUUAUGGGAUUCAGUCUCUGACUAAACUGAUUAACUAACUGGUGUAUCUCCUUGGCAUGAUGUGCAUUAGCUUCAUCAAUUACAAUGCCUUGCUAGAGCUUCUGCCCGUGUGUUUAUUUCAUACCACAUUCAAAGUUAAAUGUACCUGCGACGCCUCUUUUGGGACUGCUCGUGACGACCAUUCUGUGUUAUCCUGACAUGGCUUGCUAUGCUGUUGCGUCCGUGCAACUCUCUGUAGAAAAGACAGUAAAGUUGUCCACGCGUUGGACCCGAUGGGAGCCCCGGCCAAACCACUCCACCGCAGUUCAAUACCUGUCGCAGAUGAUCCAGACGCUGUCGUUUCCAAAGAGAACUCCCAAUGCGGUCGUGAAGAAGCUGUCGUAUAUAACAGUUGAUAAACAUGACAAAAAUUCUCCGCCGCUAUUUGGAGGACAUUAAACCUGGGAGCAGAGGAAGGAAAGCUUUAAGUUGAAUGCUACCAUGAAGAGAUGAUUGUACUUAUGGAAACUCAGAUGCCCUGCACCGCUGCCGGAUCAGGGAUGGAGCGAACUAAAAUCCAGAAAUAAGAGAGGAGUGGAUGCAGGAGGCUCCUCAGCGAUUAGAGCUUCUCGGCCGUCCGAUCGUUUUCUUGAUUGCGUUCUGGCCGUUGGAUCUCGGGCUCGGUCGUCGUGGGCCGUCGGAUAUUUACCCGGUCGUCUCCAACCUUCCGAUAUUUUCCCUAUGAGCCGUGUCCCGCCCGGCCGUGCCACCGCGCGUAAUUCCCGUGCCCCGCCGAGGGCAUUUUAGACAUUUCGCAUACCCCUUUAAAAACAAAGUAGCAGCCACUGGAAACCUAGCCGCUUCCUGCCGCACUCGCGCGGUCGCGCCCCCUUCCCCCUUCCCCCGUCCUCCCGCAUUCCAGCCUCCACCUCGCCGCCGCCACCAACACCAGGCGAUUCCGGCGAGUUCCGGCGGCCCUCGCCGGAGCGCAGCACACCCACGAGCUCCCCUCGUGACGGUGCUUCCUUUCCUCCGGCUAGAUCUGCUCCUCACGGCCGCAAGCGCUCGCGCGCGACCCAUCCCCGCUGCUAGGGCUUCGGCUGCCCCCAACUCUGGUGAGCCACCCUCCUCCAUGGACGAGGACGACCACCACGGCCGCACAUGGUCGAGCUCACCGUCGUUUCCUCCGGUGCGGUGAUGGGCCAACGAGCUCCGCCUCCACGGCUCCUAGCUCGGCUUCUGUUCUCCAUGGACGAAUCUCAACUGGAAACAGCAAGCCAUCUCAAGGGAGGGGAUUGUCAAGUCACCCCACUUCCAAUCCAUGGAUGCUAUCCACAAGGACCAAGAUGAUGACGACCAGGAUGGAAGGAGCCCACGCCCGACCCCGACGACGGCGGUUUCAUUUGUGUGCCGGCGUCGACCACAACCUCCCUCUCUGUAAUAUGUACAUCACUAACCCAGUCAGUGGUUAUGAAUUUUGCUCUCUGAAGGACGUGCAAUGUUAUAUUGAAUCAGGGGACACAAGUAAAUGCAAUGUUAGGCCAAAGAAGAGAACUGCCCAGGAUGCUUGUAUUACACAGAAUCAAGAUUAUGUGAGUUCCUCCUAUUGUUUUCACUUUCUGUAGCUUGCAUGUUUGUGUGGGCUGGAAAUGUGUGAGAACAAUGCAAUCUACAAAAACAAUUAGCUUCAUCAAUUGGAAGUUCUCAUCGAUUGGAAGUUGCAGGGGAUUCAGUCUCUGACUAAACUGAUUAACUAACUGGUGUAUCUCCUUGGCAUGAUGUGCAUUAGCUUCAUCAAUUACAAUGCCUUGCUAGAGCUUCUGCCCGUGUGUUUAUUUCACACCACAUUCAAAGUUAAAUGUACCUGCGACGCCUCUUUUGGGACUGCUCGUGACGACCAUUCUGUGUUAUCCUGACAUGGCUUGCUAUGCUGUUGCGUCCGUGCAACUCUCUGUAGAAAAGACAGUAAAGUUGUCCACGCGUUGGACCCGAUGGGAGCCCCGACCAAACCACUCCACCGCAGUUCAAUACCUGUCGCAGAUGAUCCAGACGCUGUUGUUUCCAAAGAGAACUCCCAAUGCGGUCGUGAAGAAGCUGUCGUAUAUAACAGUUGAUAAACAUGACAAAAAUUCUCCGCCGCUGUUUGGAGGACAUUAAACCUGGGAGCAGAGGAAGGAAAGCUUUAAGUUGAAUGCUACCAUGAAGGUGUUGGCCGACGAGCUCACGCCCAAAGCGCGAUGAACCACAUACAUUUUAUACCCCUGUUUUCUUGGCAAAAAUACAUUUUACUUCCUCUAAUUUUAAAUAGGAUAUUCUUGGGAAUGAGAUGUAAUUUUAGGAGAAUUACAUUUCAGCAUUUUAUUUUAUCCUGAAACUAUUGAUCUCUCUCUCCCUCUCUCUCUCUCUCUCCAUCUACAUAUAUCACACCAGCUGUUCCAGUUAGAGUAGUAGUGGCCACAAAAUUUUACUGAAAUAAUCAUGCUAUUGAUUCUGGAAGAAGCGUCUGCGAUUCUAGGAGAAGUUUUAAUUUCUCCCCAGAGAUGAGCUUGAUUAUCCAAGAAGCUUUUCCUU